rnacentral:tRNA from 1 species
CCUGGUCGCUCAGAGAGUAAAGAGUCUGCCUGCAAUGCAGGAGACCCAGGUUCAAUCCCUGGGUCAGGA